CACAAGGCAAAGAGCUGCAAAGAAUGCCUGUUCUCAUUGCAGAUGGAGGACAACUAAAUCAGAAAACCGAGGCAGAAUAGAGGAAAAUUUAUACCCUUGACAUUCCUAUAACACCAACAUCUCCAUCAGCAUGAAACAUUCAGAUAUGAACAAUGAAGGGUUUCUUUGUUCAGUUUUACUGAAGUUGUGCCAAGACUUUACUUGGGAUUUCUGAAUGUAUCAAUCAGUUCUAUAAAAUAAAGUAAAAUAAAAAAAAAGAAAAGAAAGAAAGAAGAAAAAAUCACAGCUGAGCAUAUGGGGUGUUACAAACAGGAGGAGGACACAACUCUCCCUUUGAUUAGAUUUCUCAAAAGAAUAAAAGUAUGUUUUCGAAGAAAGCACUUCAUUCCCUGACCUCUGUUUUAAACAUCAAAAAUGUUGAUGCUAAAGAUGAUGCUGAAAAGAGAUCCUUUGAAGAAGUAAAAAGUAAAACAAGUGACAAGGUACCUUAAGAGAAGCCAACAAAGAAUGUUUCUUUCUCUGACAUUUAACCACUAUGUUGGCAGAAUGCUCAGAAAAGAUCCUUCUCCUUAUUAAAUUAAAGCUAUUAUUUUUGCUUAUUUGCUCAGCUGUGAGACUGGGUCACCUCUUCUGCAUUUUCUCUCUCUACUCCUCUCUUCAUUUUUUAUUGAUUUUCUCUAGUGAAACUGGUAAGCUGUUAAGAAAACUGCCUUUUCUCUUUCCCUUGGGAAUGCCAGGUAUCCGGGCAGGGGAUAGCAGAUAAAGACAGUACAACAGUGAGUGCAGCAUGCAGAGUUGGAAGCUGGCCUGCCUUUCAAAAAAGUUCUCACCCUGUACAGUUAGAUGGCUGGGUUCCAACACUUUCAAAGGACGGCAGAAAAUGACAAAUGCAGGCACAGGUUCUGCCUGCGUUUGACAGGGGCAAGAGGAAAAAGCGGGUGCUGUGUUCUGCUUACCUUCUUAUUGUUUCUGUCUUGAGCUUUGCUUUAUUUUGCUUAUAAUUUCUAUAUAUUAAAAAAAAACCUCAUGUGUAAUAUUGCACUCUGGUAUUUAUGAAGAAGACAUAUCUUUUCAGAGUAUACCCAGGGGUGGCUCUUCUGCACCUGUGAUUUUCUCCUGUGUUACGCUCAACACCCAGAUGAGAACUGCUGUUCCCCACCUGGAAUUUAUCCUAAGCUUCUGGGAAUAGAGAUACGGAAAGGAAGCAUGGCAUUGAUUUCAGCAAUGGCAAUAAAUGCUACCUCUAGAUUCAAGACUAGCACUGAGGAGAACAAUUUGAGAGUAUUGACAAGACUGAAAGCCAGGCAGAACUGCAGUGAGAACCUAUUUGGAAAAAAAAAAAAAAAUAUAUAUAUAUAUAUAUAUAUAUAUGUACAGAAAAAGAAAAAAUGAAAAAGUAAAAGGAAAGAAAGAAGAAAAAGAAAGUCAGUCUUAGAAACUAGCAUACACCCAGCAGGAUUGUGUUUGGCUUGAGUCAAACCUUUGUCCCAUGUUCUCUCCACUGAAUCUAAUCUCCACUGAAUGCUACUCGUUUCUAUAGAUAGAUUCAUCACUUCUUGUCAUGCUGUGACAGCUCUAUAUUAUGCUGUAUUUAAUGUUGUCAUUCUUAUUUUCUUCUCACUCUGAAUAAUUCCAUCAAAAGUAAAAUCCAUGCCUAUAAUUAUCAAGUAAUUCUAUUGUUAUUGUUCGUAAUCAUUAAAACAUCUGAUUGUUCACCUUACUUAGAUGAGAUUGUGUGUCUAAAUUAUUGAGAUUUCUAUAAUAAGGAUGACUUUUAUGAAGUAAAAAUGCUGUAUCAAUCUGUGCUUAUAAAAACAAGUGGAUCCACUAGGAUUUUUCACUGGGAGAGGGAAGUACAUAGAAGAUUUGGAUGCAUAUUUUUAAUAAAUGCC